rnacentral:misc_RNA from 1 species
UCCGGUUUGGCACCGGCAGUCUCACUAGAGUUCCCGGCUUUACCCGCUGGUAACUAGUGACAAGGGUUGCGCUCGUUGCGGGACUUAACCCAACAUCUCACGACACGAGCUGACGACAGCCAUGCAGCACCUGUGACCGAGCUCCGAAGAGCUUUCCAGGUUUCCCCGGAAAUUCCCGGCCAUGUCAAGCCCAGGUAAGGUUCUUCGCGUUGCGUCGAAUUAAACCACAUGCUCCACUGCUUGUGCGGGCCCCCGUCAAUUCCUUUGAGUUUCAGCCUUGCGGCCGUACUCCCCAGGCGGGGCACUUAAUGCGUUUGCGCCGGCCCUCAAGGGGUCGCUCCCCCAAGGACCUAGUGCCCAUCGUUUACGGCGUGGACUAC